UACGUAGGUGGCGAGCGUUGUCCGGAUUUACUGGGCGUAAAGCGCGCGCAGGCGGUUCUGUAAGUCCUGGGUGAAAUCGCCCGGCUCAACUGGGCGGGGGCCUGGGGGACUGCGGGACUGGAGGGGCCUAGAGGCCGGUGGAACUCCCGGUGUAGUGGUGAAAUGCGUAGAGAUCGGGAGGAACACCUGUGGCGAAAGCGGCGCACUGGACCAUAACUGACGCUGAGGCGCGAAAGCUAGGGGAGCAAACAGG
rnacentral:rRNA from 1 species